CUAAGGAAUGUAAUUUAGAGACUUUUAAAAUAAAAUCUUCAAUUUUUUAUUGGUUUUACGCGUUUGUCGGCAAACUGAGUACUGUGGUCCAACUGUUUUAUCGACAUCUUUGGUGUUCGUCUCAAUGAAAGAUAAAACCUGUGAUUAUAAUUAUUCUAAAAAUAUAUCUUGUCUGUGGUAGAAAUAUAAAAUUAAAACAUCAAUGAAUUAAUUUUUGUGUGAAAACGAUAUUUUCAAGCUUUGAUUUAGUUCCCAAUUCUCUAUAAACCUAAAUACACAUUUUAUUCUUGAUUUCCAGAUUUAAGAUGUCCGAGUACAGCGUUAUCACGGAGUCUCUGGUGGACGUCAUCAUCAGCAGUAACAUCACAUCAUUCAACAGCCAGAAGAAGUUCGACAAGAGUUUAACUAUUGCUGAUCUGAAGAUGAAACUAGAAAUGAUAACUGGAGGAACUGCUGCAAAUAUGAAGAUUUCACUUUUUGAUAAAGAUGAUAAGGCUGUUUGUGAGUUCGACAAUAACGAGGCACUGCUAGGUUCCUAUCCUGUAGAAUCUGGUCAUAGGCUUCAUGUCAUUGAUGAUUCUAAAAUUACUGGUGAGUUUGAGAAUACUGCAGCAGUUGAGAAGUUUGAAUUAUCUAAAGAAGAAUAUAAUAAGAAACAGGAUACAGUUGCAGCAUAUCUCAAGAGGAACAAGCUGGGGAAGUAUAACGAGGAGGAGAUGGCAAACAUGGCCAAGGAGAAGGAAAACCAGGAACUGGAGGAAGAAAAAAGGAUUGAGAGUGGAGGGUUGGUAGUUGAUGCAAGAUGUGAGGUUCGUGUUCCAGGCCAACUUCCGAAAAGAGGAGCUAUCAGGUUUGUUGGUAAAGUCCAUUUCCAGCCUGGUUGGUGGGUUGGGGUACAGUAUGAUGAACCUACAGGGAAGAAUGAUGGAAGUGUCGGCGGCAAAAGAUAUUUCACGUGUACUGCAAAAUACGGAGGCUUCGUGAAACCAAACACGGUGGAGGUCGGCGACUUUCCGGAGGAGGAACUCGAUCUCUCCGAGGGUGAAAUGUAGAGGAUUAUGGUGGAGUGCUUAACGGAGGCUGUGCUUUUUCUGCUUUUCAGAACUAUCAACCUUGUACUCGAUUUAAAAGUGCUAGUUCCCUACUUUAAUUUGAUUGAAGAUCUUGCCUAAUAUUUAACAAGUUAACGAACCCCAAAUGUAAUGAUCUGCUUUGCUGUUCUGUAUUGAAACCACACAAAACACUAAACAAUUUUACACCGUUUAUUUAAUAUUUAGUCUCAAACUCACUUUGCACUAAUAUUUAAUCUGUGAUUUUUUAUCAUUGUUAACCAGUAUUCAUUUAAAAGCAUUUAAUAAUAAUUUUAAAAAUCGUU